rnacentral:rRNA from 1 species
GACAGAGGGUGCAAACGUUGUUCGGAAUUACUGGGCGUAAAGCGUGUGUAGGCGGCCAUGAAGGUCGGAUGUGAAAGCCCCGGGCUCAACCCGGGAAGUGCACCCGAAACCGCACGGCUCGAGUACCGGAGAGGUUGGUGGAAUUCUCGGUGUAGAGGUGAAAUUCGUAGAUAUCGAGAGGAACACCGGUGGCGAAGGCGGCCAACUGGACGAGUACUGACGCUGAGACACGAAAGCGUGGGGAGCAAACAGG